UGUGUCCGACCUUGUCUCUUGAUGCUUUUUUAUUCUAUAAUUUGUGUAUCACCAAAUGCACUAAGUGAGGAAUACUUGUAUGUUUUCUUCCUUACAGGUCCCUGCAUCUAAUCCAGAAGCAAACUGUGGCUACUUUAAAUGGGCUACUUCAAAGUCUAAGAAUAAAUAAAUUGGAAUUGGAAACAACUUUAAUUCAGCAGUCAAUGCUCCAUCUCAGCAUCUAAUUUAGCAACUCCUGAUAAUUUAGCAACUCCUGAUUACAGAUAAGGUCCAUGGCAAAAUAGGUGAAGGAACUUUUGGACAGGUCUUAGAGUGCUGGGACCGAGAGAGGAAGGAAAUGGUCGGCAUUAAAGUUCUUCGUGCAAUAAAAAAGUGCUUUUGGUUUCAUCGGAGUAUCUUAAAGUCCCCGAUUACAAGGCAGGAAGCUUUAGAGAGAUAGAAGAUGUUGCACCCUUGAAGGAGAAAUUGGAAGGCCAUUAUCAAAGCAAGAAAGAAGUGGGAUAGGUGUGAGCAAACUUAGGCUGCUUCUGGAAGAAAUACUACAAAAGAGGUUUGUGAAAAGUGAACCUACUUUAGUUCCACAAUGGUUGAGAAGUAAUGGAAGUGUUACUAGUUCAGCCCACCAUUAUGCAUCUUCAUCUAAUCACACUGAAAACAAUUGCUUCUCCAGGACGUGGUAUUUUGGCCAUGGAUGAAUCCAAUGCUACAUGUGGAAAGCGAUUGGAUUCAAUUGGACUAGAGAAC